UACGUAGGGGGCAAGCGUUGUCCGGAUUUAUUGGGCGUAAAGAGCGUGUAGGCGGCCAGGUAGGUCAGCUGUGAAAACUCGAGGCUCAACCUCGAGACGUCGGUUGAAACCACCUGGCUAGAGUCCGGAAGAGGGGAGUGGAAUUCCUGGUGUAGCGGUGAAAUGCGCAGAUAUCAGGAAGAACACCCGUGGCGAAGGCGGCUCUCUGGGACGGUACUGACGCUGAGACGCGAAAGCGUGGGGAGCGAACAGG
rnacentral:rRNA from 1 species